rnacentral:rRNA from 1 species
AUUGAACGCUGGCGGCAGGCCUAACACAUGCAAGUCGAGCGGAUGAGAGGAGCUUGCUUCUCGAUUCAGCGGCGGACGGGUGAGUAAUGCCUAGGAAUCUGCCUGGUAGUGGGGGACAACGUUUCGAAAGGAACGCUAAUACCGCAUACGUCCUACGGGAGAAAGCAGGGGACCUUCGGGCCUUGCGCUAUCAGAUGAGCCUAGGUCGGAUUAGCUAGUUGGUGAGGUAAUGGCUCACCAAGGCGACGAUCCGUAACUGGUCUGAGAGGAUGAUCAGUCACACUGGAACUGAGAAACGGUCCAGACUCCUACGGGAGGUAGCAGUGGGGAAUAUUGGACAAUGGGCGAAAGCCUGAUCCAGCCAUGCCGCGUGUGUGAAGAAGGUCUUCGGAUUGUAAAGCACUUUAAGUUGGGAGGAAGGGUUGUAGAUUAAUACUCUGCAAUUUUGACGUUACCGACAGAAUAAGCACCGGCUAACUCUGUGCCAGCCGCCGCGGUAA